GAUGAACGCUGGCGGCGUGCCUAAUACAUGCAAGUCGAGCGAACAGACGAGGAGCUUGCUCCUCUGACGUUAGCGGCGGACGGGUGAGUAACACGUGGAUAACCUACCUAUAAGACUGGGAUAACUUCGGGAAACCGGAGCUAAUACCGGAUAACAUAUUGAACCGCAUGGUUCAACAGUGAAAGACGGUUUUGCUGUCACUUAUAGAUGGAUCCGCGCCGCAUUAGCUAGUUGGUAAGGUAACGGCUUACCAAGGCAACGAUGCGUAGCCGACCUGAGAGGGUGAUCGGCCACACUGGAACUGAGACACGGUCCAGACUCCUACGGGAGGCAGCAGUAGGGAAUCUUCCGCAAUGGGCGAAAGCCUGACGGAGCAACGCCGCGUGAGUGAAGAAGGUCUUCGGAUCGUAAAACUCUGUUAUUAGGGAAGAACAAAUGUGUAAGUAACUAUGCACGUCUUGACGGUACCUAAUCAGAAAGCCACGGCUAACUACGUG
rnacentral:rRNA from 1 species